rnacentral:rRNA from 1 species
UAGGGAAUCUUCGGCAAUGGGGGGAACCCUGACCGAGCAACGCCGCGUGAGUGAAGAAGGUUUUCGGAUCGUAAAGCUCUGUUGUUAAGGAAGAACGAGUGUGAGAAUGGAAAGUGCAUGCUGUGACGGUACUUAACCAGAAAGGGACGGCUAACUACGUGCCAGCAGCCGCGGUAAUACGUAGGUCCCGAGCGUUGUCCGGAUUUAUUGGGCGUAAAGCGAGCGCAGGCGGUUAGAAAAGUCUGAAGUGAAAGGCAGUGGCUCAACCAUUGUAGGCUUUGGAAACUGUUUAACUUGAGUGCAGAAGGGGAGGGUGGAAUUCCAUGUGUAGCGGUGAAAUGCGUAGAUAUAUGGAGGAACACCGGUGGCGAAAGCGGGUCUCUGGUCUGUAACUGACGCUGAGGCUCGAAAGCGUGGGGAGCGAACAGG